AGAAUCAACGCUGGCGGCGUGCCUAACACAUGCAAGUCGCACGAGAAAGGGUAGCAAUACCUGAGUACAGUGGCGCACGGGUGAGUAACACGUGAAUAAUCUACCUCCGAGUGGGGAAUAACUGAGAGAAAUCUUAGCUAAUACCGCAUAAUACCCACGGGUCAAAGCAGCAAUGCGCUUGGAGAGGAGUUCGCGGCAGAUUAGUUAGUUGGCGGGGUAAUGGCCCACCAAGACGAUGAUCUGUAUCCGGCCUGAGAGGGCGCACGGACACACUGGAACUGAAACACGGUCCAGACUCCUACGGGAGGCAGCAGUGGGGAAUUUUUGCGCAAUGGGGGAAACCCUGACGCAGCAACGCCGCGUGGAGGAUGAAGCCCCUUGGGUGUAAACUCCUUCGAUCGGGAAGAUAAUGACGGUACCGAUAUAAGAACGCCCGGCUAACUUCGCGCCAGCAGCCGC
rnacentral:rRNA from 1 species